rnacentral:rRNA from 1 species
UACGGGGGGGGCAAGCGUUGUUCGGAAUUACUGGGCGUAAAGGGCGCGUAGGCGGUUGGAUAAGUCAGCUGUGAAAACCACGGGCUUAACUCGUGGCCUGCAGUUGAGACUGUCUGGCUUGAGUGUGGGAGAGGAGAGUGGAAUUCCUGGUGUAGCGGUGAAAUGCGUAGAUAUCUGGAGGAACACCGGUGGCGAAGGCGGCAUCCUGGACCAACACUGACGCUGAGUGAGCGAAAGCCAGGGGAGCAAACGGG